rnacentral:ncRNA from 1 species
AGCGAAAAACGGCAAACCCACCGCAAGGCGGGGACGCAAAGCCACGGGACCCACGCAGGUCAGCCGAGCUACCGAA